GAAAUGCGAUAAGUAAUGUGAAUUGCAGAAUUCAGUGAAUCAUCGAAUCUUUGAACGCACCUUGCGCUCUCUGGUAUUCCGGAGAGCACGCCCGUUUGAGUGUCAUGGUAUUCUCAACCUUUAAAAGUAUUUUGUUACUUUUGAAGGCUUGGACUUGGAGGUUGUGCUGGCUCUCUUAUGGGAUUCAGCUCCUCUUAAAUGUAUUAGCGUUCACGUUUAAUUGCUAUCAGUGUGAUAAUUAUCUGCGCUGUUAGUCGUUAAAAGUAUCGUGUUGACGCUUCUAAUUGUCCUUUAGCUGGACAUAUAUGUAUAUGUGUAUAUGUGUAUAUACUUUGACAUCUGACCUCAAAUCGGGUGGGACUACCCGCUGAACUUAA
rnacentral:misc_RNA from 1 species